UUUCCGCUGUUUCUUUUUUCUACUACCAAAGCCCUGAAAAACUUCCUCAGUUCCCCCAAAACUCCUAUGUGGUUAGGACCAUUUCACAUGGAUACCUAAUUUAAUGAUGUAAUUGUUAUAAGUGCUCUUUGGGGAACUAAUGGACCUGAGCGAAGUUCCCAUUCCGGCAUUCUCUUGCAUUCGUAUGACAGUGGAACAGAACAAUAUCAUAUAGCCAACUCCAUCCCUAACAAUGGUCUUUGCUGUUGGCAUUUGCUUAACCAGUCUUUAGUUCCUGUUUGGCAAACUUUAUAAGGUGCUACACGGCAGAUG
rnacentral:lncRNA from 1 species